rnacentral:rRNA from 1 species
GACGAACGCUGGCGGCGUGCCUAAUACAUGCAAGUCGAACGCACUCUCGUUUAGAUUGAAGGAGCUUGCUCCUGAUUGAUAAACAUUUGAGUGAGUGGCGGACGGGUGAGUAACACGUGGGUAACCUGCCCUAAAGUGGGGGAUAACAUUUGGAAACAGAUGCUAAUACCGCAUAAAGCCUAACACCGCAUGGUGUAGGGUUGAAAGAUGGUUUCGGCUAUCACUUUAGGAUGGACCCGCGGUGCAUUAGUUAGUUGGUGAGGUAAAGGCUCACCAAGACCGUGAUGCAUAGCCGACCUGAGAGGGUAAUCGGCCACACUGGGACUGAGACACGGCCCAGACUCCUACGGGAGGCAGCAGUAGGGAAUCUUCCACAAUGGACGAAAGUCUGAUGGAGCAACGCCGCGUGAGUGAAGAAGGUUUUCGGAUCGUAAAACUCUAGUUGUUGGAGAAGAAUGUAUCUGAUAGUAACUGAUCAGUAGUGACGGUAUCCAACCAGAAAGACC